rnacentral:tRNA from 1 species
CAGGGAGACAACAAAAUGUUUAAUAUUAUUAUUUUGUCACCUUAGGUCGAUCGGUAUCUCACGUUCUUAAUUUAUUAAGAAUUUCAUUUCCUAAGUUUUUCUAGGUCACACCCAUUAUUUUCCUGGGCCAUUAGCUCAGGUGGUUAGAGCGCACCCCUGAUAAGGGUGAGGUCCCUGGUUCAAGUCCAGGAUGGCCCAUAUCUCUAUGUUGGGGGUAUAGCUCAGUUGGUAGAGCGCCUGCUUUGCAAGCAGGAUGUCAGCGGUUCGAGUCCGCUUACCUCCACUGAUUACCACCUCUUCCAUAAUCUGUAGAAAGGAAAAUUUUUGAGUUGUGAUCAUUAUUCUGAAAGAAUCUAGCUUCCUAAUGAAACCAUUAAGAUGCUGGACUCAUUGAAUUAAUUUCAUUGUUUUCAGAGAACCUUGACAACUGCAUAGAUUAUUUUUAAAGACAAUAAGCAUUUUUAAUGAUGCAGAUUUAUUAUUUGUGCAAAUGCAUUAAUAACAAUUCUAUUAAGCUGAUGCUUCAAUUAUGAAGUUAUU